rnacentral:rRNA from 1 species
GUGGGGAAUAUUGGACAAUGGGCGAAAGCCUGAUCCAGCCAUGCCGCGUGUGUGAAGAAGGUCUUCGGAUUGUAAAGCACUUUAAGUUGGGAGGAAGGGCAGUAAGUUAAUACCUUGCUGUUUUGACGUUACCGACAGAAUAAGCACCGGCUAACUUCGUGCCAGCAGCCGCGGUAAUACGAAGGGUGCAAGCGUUAAUCGGAAUUACUGGGCGUAAAGCGCGCGUAGGUGGUUUUGUAAGUUGGAGGUGGAAUCCCCGGGCUCAACCUGUGAACUGCCUCCAAAACUGCAUGACUAGAGUACGGUAGAGGGUAGUGGAAUUUCCUGUGUAGCGGUGAAAUGCGUAGAUAUAGGAAGGAACACCAGUGGCGAAGGCGACUACCUGGACUGAUACUGACACUGAGGUGCGAAAGCGUGGGGAGCAAACAGGAUUAGAAACCCGGGUAGUCC